rnacentral:rRNA from 11 species
GGUUCUAGUCCUAAAGACUCAAAGGUACCAGAUCCCAUCUGAUAUUGGAAACUAAGCAGGGUCAACUCUGGUUAAUACUUGGCUGGAAAACUGCCAAUAAAUAUUAGGUAUUGUAGGCU